rnacentral:rRNA from 2 species
AUGGACGAAAGUCUGAUGGAGCAACGCCGCGUGAGUGAAGAAGGGUUUCGGCUCGUAAAACUCUGUUGUUAAAGAAGAACAUAUCUGAGAGUAACUGUUCAGGUAUUGACGGUAUUUAACCAUAAAGCCACGGCUAACUACGUGCCAGCAGCCGCGGUAAUACGUAUGUGGCAAGCGUUGUCCGGAUUUAUGGGGCGUAAAGCGAGCGCAGGCGGUUUUUUAGGUCUGAUGUGAAAGCCUUCGGCUUAACCGAAGAAGUGCAUCGGAAACUGGGAAACUUGAGUGCAGAAGAGGACAGUGGAACUCCAUGUGUAGCGGUGAAAUGCGUAGAUAUAUGGAAGAACACCAGUGGCGAAGGCGGCUGUCUGGUCUGUAACUGACGCUGAGGCUCGAAAGUAUGGGUAGCAAACAGGAUUAGAUACCCUGGUAGUCCAUACCGUAAACGAUGAAUGCUAAGUGUUGGAGGGUUUCCGCCCUUCAGUGCUGCAACUAACGCAUUAAGCAUUCCGCCUGGGGAGUACGGCCGCAAGGCUGAAACUCAAAGGAAUUGACGGGGGCCCGCACAA